rnacentral:piRNA from 1 species
UGAGAACCAGGGAGGCAGCUCUAUCU